UCAGCGGCGGACGGGUGAGUAACACGUGGGUAACCUGCCUGUAAGACUGGGAUAACUCCGGGAAACCGGGGCUAAUACCGGAUGCUUGAUUGAACCGCAUGGUUCAAUCAUAAAAGGUGGCUUUUAGCUACCACUUACAGAUGGACCCGCGGCGCAUUAGCUAGUUGGUGAGGUAACGGCUCACCAAGGCGACGAUGCGUAGCCGACCUGAGAGGGUGAUCGGCCACACUGGGACUGAGACACGGCCCAGACUCCUACGGGAGGCAGCAGUAGGGAAUCUUCCGCAAUGGACGAAAGUCUGACGGAGCAACGCCGCGUGAGUGAUGAAGGUUUUCGGAUCGUAAAACUCUGUUGUUAGGGAAGAACAAGUACCGUUCGAAUAGGGCGGUACCUUGACGGUACCUAACCAGAAAGCCACGGCUAACUACGUGCCAGCAGCCGCGGUAAUACGUAGGUGGC
rnacentral:rRNA from 1 species